GAGUGAACAGUUUGGUGGCGAAGUGCAAGUUCAGUGAAGGCUCUGCCCAGCCUGAACAGUUUUGUUUUUGUUUAAACCUUUGUUUUGGCCCUUGCGCUGGUUAUUUUGUAAGUGUUUAUUGUGUGUGAGAUUUGUUUUUGUUUGACCUUUUAUUUUUGCUUGUUGCCAGGGUUGACGAAUACUACCUAGCUGGGAAGAUGAUCGCAGUCUCUGUGGUUCAUGGGGGUCCAGGGCCACUUUUUCUCUCAAGAGACCUUUUUCAUUACACAGCCAAUCACCCUGAUUUUACAGCCACAAUUGAAGACAUUGUGGAUGAAGAUAUCAAAACCUCACUUCAUGAGAACAAGACGAUGGUGUGUCCCUCCAGGAUAUCCUCAUGUUUACCACAGGACUCCGAUCACUUCCACCAGCAGGAAUUUAGCCACGCCCAUAUAUUGACUUUGACAGGUCAUCGCCUUUCCCAAUGUCAAACACAUGUGCAAAUGGUAUUAGACUUCCUGUGCUCAACACUUAUGAAGAAUUCAAAACCAAUAUGGAUUUUGGAAUUCAGAAUUCACCUGGAUUUGGUUGCGCAUAACCACGUGUUUAAAUGUUAUGUAUCACCAUUUGCUGAAUUUUAUUUUGCAGGGUUAAAAACUGUCUGAAGGUUUUCUGCUUUUGAACAUGUUUUUCAUUUGCUUAAGUUCAGGUUAUUAAUUUGUUUAAAUCCAGGUUACUCAAUAUGCGGCCCGUCCAAUCCAUUCAGUUGCACUCAUUUGAAACAACCAGCGCCUAAAUUGUUAUGUAGAUCCAGCUAAUUAUGACUGGUAAUUGAACUGGUUUGCACAAAAUUCAGCAAUGUAGUGGAUUGGAAGGACAGCAUGUUGAGCAUCUUGGGUCAAGUAUAAAGAACUAACAAAUGCAAUCCUUUUUUUUUUAUCAACCACAGUUUGUUCUACUGAAGACUAAACUGAAAAUUCAGUCUUCGUCUUGUAAUUGUACAUGCUGUAUUAUUUUAUACCAUUUCCUGGGGUAAUCUAUACCUGAAUGUAAAAUUUAGUAAUAUAGUUUUGUUUUUUUUAAAACUAUGGUCUCUGAAAACCUUGCCUAAAAAUAGUUGUCGUAAUAUUGAUAAUUAUCCAAAGGACAAUUUCAGUUCAUAAACGUAGUAUAAACCUUUCCACAGUACUUGAGCUGA